rnacentral:rRNA from 1 species
CCGAAUUCGUCGACAACAGAGUUUGAUCAUGGCUCAGAUUGAACGCUGGCGGCAGGCCUAACACAUGCAAGUCGAACGGUAACAGGAAACAGCUUGCUGUUUCGCUGACGAGUGGCGGACGGGUGAGUAAUGUCUGGGAAACUGCCUGAUGGAGGGGGAUAACUACUGGAAACGGUAGCUAAUACCGCAUAACGUCGCAAGACCAAAGAGGGGGACCUUCGGGCCUCUUGCCAUCGGAUGUGCCCAGAUGGGAUUAGCUAGUAGGUGGGGUAACGGCUCACCUAGGCGACGAUCCCUAGCUGGUCUGAGAGGAUGACCAGCCACACUGGAACUGAGACACGGUCCAGACUCCUACGGGAGGCAGCAGUGGGGAAUAUUGCACAAUGGGCGCAAGCCUGAUGCAGCCAUGCCGCGUGUAUGAAGAAGGCCUUCGGGUUGUAAAGUACUUUCAGCGGGGAGGAAGGGAGUAAAGUUAAUACCUUUGCUCAUUGACGUUACCCGCAGAAGAAGCACCGGCUAACUCCGUGCCAGCAGCCGCGGUAAUACGGAGGGUGCAAGCGUUAAUCGGAAUUACUGGGCGUAAAGCGCACGCAGGCGGUUUGUUAAGUCAGAUGUGAAAUCCCCGGGCUCAACCUGGGAACUGCAUCUGAUACUGGCAAGCUUGAGUCUCGUAGAGGGGGGUAGAAUUCCAGGUGUAGCGGUGAAAUGCGUAGAGAUCUGGAGGAAUACCGGUGGCGAAGGCGGCCCCCUGGACGAAGACUGACGCUCAGGUGCGAAAGCGUGGGGAGCAAACAGGAUUAGAUACCCUGGUAGUCCACGCCGUAAACGAUGUCGACUUGGAGGUUGUGCCCUUGAGGCGUGGCUUCCGGAGCUAACGCGUUAAGUCGACCGCCUGGGGAGUACGGCCGCAAGGUUAAAACUCAAAUGAAUUGACGGGGGCCCGCACAAGCGGUGGAGCAUGUGGUUUAAUUCGAUGCAACGCGAAGAACCUUACCUGGUCUUGACAUCCACGGAAGUUUUCAGAGAUGAGAAUGUGCCUUCGGGAACCGUGAGACAGGUGCUGCAUGGCUGUCGUCAGCUCGUGUUGUGAAAUGUUGGGUUAAGUCCCGCAACGAGCGCAACCCUUAUCCUUUGUUGCCAGCGGUCCGGCCGGGAACUCAAAGGAGACUGCCAGUGAUAAACUGGAGGAAGGUGGGGAUGACGUCAAGUCAUCAUGGCCCUUACGACCAGGGCUACACACGUGCUACAAUGGCGCAUACAAAGAGAAGCGACCUCGCGAGAGCAAGCGGACCUCAUAAAGUGCGUCGUAGUCCGGAUUGGAGUCUGCAACUCGACUCCAUGAAGUCGGAAUCGCUAGUAAUCGUGGAUCAGAAUGCCACGGUGAAUACGUUCCCGGGCCUUGUACACACCGCCCGUCACACCAUGGGAGUGGGUUGCAAAAGAAGUAGGUAGCUUAACCUUCGGGAGGGCGCUUACCACUUUGUGAUUCAUGACUGGGGUGAAGUCGUAACAAGGUAACCGUAAGCUUGGAUCCCGGG